GGGGGUGCACCGGAUUCGACUGGGUAAAAAGGGAAGAGUAUAAGCAUACCGCAGGUAUCGACUGCGUAAUAACGAUAACUUAAAUUUAAAUGCAAAUAAUAACAAUUUUGCUUACGCUGCGUAAUUAGUUCAGCGUUGUCGGGUAUAGGUAAUCCGCUGACUUGUAUUUCGGCAUCAUUUUAAGCGGAGAACGUCUAUAGAGGUCGUAUUGUGUUUUUAUAGAUGAAUUUAGCAAUAUGCGAUAGGAAUAGUCGGUUUGCAGACAGUUUCUAUUUAAGGAUAAGAGCAAACUAAGUAUGUAGAAGGCUUUUUGAUUUUUACGCAAGACAGGAGUUCAACUCUCCUCACCUCCACCA
rnacentral:tmRNA from 1 species